UGAGGAUAGCCCAGGGAAACUGGGAGUAAUACUCGAUACGCCCUUAGGGGGAAGGAAGGAUCAGCCCGCGUCUGAUUAGGUAGUUGGUGGGGUAAUGGCCUACCAAGCCUACGAUCAGUAGCUGGUUUUAGAGGAUGAUCAGCCACACUGGGACUGAGACACGGCCCAGACUCCUACGGGAGGCAGCAGUGAGGAAUCUUAGACAAUGGGCGCAAGCCUGAUCUAGCCAUGCCGCGUGAGUGAUGAAGGCCUUAGGGUCGUAAAGCUCUUUCGCCAGGGAUGAUAAUGACAGUACCUGGUAAAGAAACCCCGGCUAACUCCGUGCCAGCAGCCGCGGUAAUACGGAGGGGGUUAGCGUUGUUCGGAAUUACUGGGCGUAAAGCGCGCGUAGGCGGACUGGAAAGUUGGGGGUGAAAUCCCAGGGCUCAACCCUGGAACUGCCUCCAAAACUAUCAGUCUAGAGUUCGAGAGAGGUGAGUGGAAUUCCGAGUGUAGAGGUGAAAUUCGUAGAUGUUCGGAGGAACACCAGUGGCGAAGGCGGCUCACUGGCUCGAUACUGACGCUGAGGUGCGAAAGUGUGGGGAGCAAACAGGAUUAGAUACCCUGGUAGUCCACACCGUAAACG
rnacentral:rRNA from 1 species